rnacentral:rRNA from 1 species
UCUUAUUGAUAAAAAUUGAAUUUAACUUUUAAGUGAAAAGGCUUAAAUAUUAGAAAGGGACGAUAAGACCCUAUAAAACUUUAUAUAAAUUAGAUUUUUUAUUAUAAUUGUUUGUUUAGUAAGAAAUAAUUUAUUAGUAUUUUAUUGGGGCGAUAGGAAUAUAUAAGUAACUGUUCUUUUUAAUAACAAAUAUUGUUGAUUGGAAAGAUCCUUAAUAGAGAUUAUAAGACAAAGUUACUUUAGGGAUAACAGCGUAAUUUUUUUUAAGAGUUCAUAUCGACAAAAAAGAUUGCGACCUCGAUGUUGAAUUAAAAUUUCUUUAUGGUGCAGAAGCUGUAAAAGAAAGUCUGUUCGACUUU